AUUGAACGCUGGCGGCAGGCCUAACACAUGCAAGUCGAGCGGAUGAAGGGAGCUUGCUCCUGGAUUCAGCGGCGGACGGGUGAGUAAUGCCUAGGAACCUGCCUGGUAGUGGGGGAUAACGUCCGGAAACGGGCGCUAAUACCGCAUACGUCCUGAGGGAGAAAGGGGGGGAUCUUCGGACCUCACGCUAUCAGAUGAGCCUAGGUCGGAUUAGCUAGUUGGUGGGGUAAAGGCCUACCAAGGCGACGAUCCGUAACUGGUCUGAGAGGAUGAUCAGUCACACUGGAACUGAGACACGGUCCAGACUCCUACGGGAGGCAGCAGUGGGGAAUAUUGGACAAUGGGCGAAAGCCUGAUCCAGCCAUGCCGCGUGUGUGAAGAAGGUCUUCGGAUUGUAAAGCACUUUAAGUUGGGAGGAAGGGCAGUAAGUUAAUACCUUGCUGUUUUGACGUUACCAACAGAAUAAGCACCGGCUAACUUCGUG
rnacentral:rRNA from 1 species